rnacentral:lncRNA from 1 species
CCGCCCCCAGUGACCUCUGACACCGGGCCCAGCUGCGGUGUCUGCCCGAGGAGCUGUCAGCGGGUCCUUUGGGAACAAAGUGAAAUAAUCGUUUGGGGACACGUCGGGCUCAACUGGCUCUGUGUGUUCUCCUGACAAAGCCCCUGUGGGCGCCCCAAGUCAAGGACACGGGCACUCCCACAGCCUCGUGAGCGGCCGCUGCUGAAGACAGCUCCACACACACAGAGCACCUCAUGAAGACCGUCCCCACCCCAGAAGUCCCACACGGGCUCCACCCAGCAUGAUGCCCUGCGCCCCGUGACGGCUCCACCACCCCUGCACGCGUCACCCAGCAGAUGUCAGUGUCCAGGGCUGACCAAUGACAUCACCGGCAGAGGCGAGGUGGAGGGCGGCCUGAAAGCUCGGAGUUGCUCCACAAGAGGAAACCGGGGCAGCGUUAGAUGCUGCUUUUCUUCUUUUCAGGAAGGAGCGCCUGGACCUGGACAGCACCACCCAGCCCUUUCUGCACAGCUGGGGAGAACAGAAAGUGCCACAGCUUGGCGAGAACAGAUACCGACCGUCGCCGCAGAUUCUCCCAGGUGCGGUUGUUUGUUGACUUCGUUUCCACGUACGUCGCUGGAAAAAUGCUGACUGCCACGCACACCCUUCCGUCGUGCCACAUUUCGGCUUUGUGCUCAGGUCGCCGCACCUCUGAGCGCAGGGACCACGGACCACCUGUGUCUGCUGACAGGGACCACGGACCACCUGUGUCUGCUGCUGACAGGUACCAUGGACCACCUGUGUCUGCUGACAGGGGACCACAGACCACCUGUGUCUGCUGCUGACAGGGACCACGGACCACCUGUGUCUGCUGCUGACAGGGGACCACAGACCACCUGUGUCUGCUGACAGGGACCACAGACCACCUGUGUCUGCUAACAGGGGAUCACAG